AAAGGAUGCAGUACUAGAACU
rnacentral:misc_RNA from 1 species